CUCUCUCUCUCUCAUUUGCUCAUUUAUGAAGUUGGGUGUGGCGACGCCGUUCGUUCUUCGCAUCCUGUGACCUUGAUUCUCCUUCGCAGUUGUCCACAAGCCAGAUGGUCGUCAUUGAUGAUCGCAGUAGAGGCAAGCGGCGGAGACCACCUUGUCGGGGUGUCGGCAGAGGAGUACGAAAAUGAGAAUGUUAAAGAUGGUGGUUGUGCCUGGACGACCAAUGUGAGCAGCCAUUACAAAGAUGGGAACAAAGGCCUUCUGUCUGCUUCUCAGAUCGUGAAUCAAGGACGUGGUUGUAGCCCAUCUUUCUGAGUGUCCAAAGUUUGCUUCUCCUGAUGAGGGAGUUUUAAAUGGUAAUGGAGGCGAUCACCCUGCUGGUUCUAAAGGGCUUAUUUGUGCGGCACCGAUUUGUUUCAUCUCGGCUAGACUUUCAGACGUCCAACCCGAGUCAACCUAUGUUUGACUUUAAUGUGCACAAAUCACGCAACCUAUGUCGGGCGUACCAGUCUAUCUCGGCUCCUCAUCAUACUUUGUAGACAUGUGUUUUCCACGUGCUUUUGAAGGAUCUUACAUGCAGUUGUUGUAUAUACUAUUUAUUCUCCAUUUUGGUCUGAUUGUUUUUUGUCCACAUGAUGUGGGCUACUUUUUGUCAGUUUAUAUUUAUAUACACUUAAUCCUUAUUGUCAAACUGCUAGGUUUUUCCCCAGUUUUGUAUAAACUGAUG